CGUUGAAAUACCGGUUCCCGUACGAUCACCGCAGUUAAGCAACAUCGAACCCUAUCAGUACCUAGAUGGGUGACCAUUUGGGAUACCCAGGGUGCUGUAA